GGUUGUGGCUCAAUGGUAGAGUGCUCGCCUGGCAUGCAUGAGGCACUGGGUUCCAUCCUCAGCACCA
rnacentral:tRNA from 1 species